AACGAACGCUGGCGGCAUGCCUAACACAUGCAAGUCGAACGAACCCUUCGGGGUUAGUGGCGCACGGGUGCGUAACGCGUGGGAAUCUGCCCAAAGGUUCGGAAUAACAGUUAGAAAUGACUGCUAAUACCGGAUAAUGUCGCAAGACCAAAGAUUUAUUGCCUUUGGAUGAGCCCGCGUAGGAUUAGCUAGUUGGUGGGGUAAAGGCCUACCAAGGCGACGAUCCUUAGCUGGUCUGAGAGGAUGAUCAGCCACACUGGGACUGAGACACGGCCCAGACUCCUACGGGAGGCAGCAGUGGGGAAUACUCCACAAUGGGCGCAAGCCUGAUGGAGCGACGCCGCGUGCGGGAUGAAGCCCUUUGGGGUGUAAACCGCUUUUAGAAGGGAUGAUACGGCUCCUCGUAAGGGGUCUAAGACAGUACCUUCUGAAUAAGCAUCGGCUAACUACGUG
rnacentral:rRNA from 1 species